GACGAACGCUGGCGGCGUGCUUAACACAUGCAAGUCGAACGGAAAGGCCCCAGCUUGCUGGGGUACUCGAGUGGCGAACGGGUGAGUAACACGUGGGUGAUCUGCCCUGCACUCUGGGAUAAGCCUGGGAAACUGGGUCUAAUACCGGAUAGGACCGUGCUUUAGUGUGUGCGGUGGAAAGUUUUUCGGUGCAGGAUGAGCCCGCGGCCUAUCAGCUUGUUGGUGGGGUAAUGGCCUACCAAGGCGGCGAGGGGUAGCCGGCCUGAGAGGGUGUACGGCCACAUUGGGACUGAGACACGGCCCAGACUCCUACGGGAGGCAGCAGUGGGGAAGAUUGCACAAUGGGCGCAAGCCUGAUGCAGCGACGCCGCGUGGGGGAUGACGGCCUUCGGGUUGUAAACCCCUUUCGGCAGGGACGAAGCUUUUGUGACGGUACCUGCAUAAGAAGCACCGGCUAACUACGUG
rnacentral:rRNA from 1 species